rnacentral:rRNA from 1 species
GACGAACGCUGGCGGCGUGCUUAACACAUGCAAGUCGAACGGAAAGGCCCUGCUUUUGUGGGGUGCUCGAGUGGCGAACGGGUGAGUAACACGUGAGUAACCUGCCCUUGACUUUGGGAUAACUUCAGGAAACUGGGGCUAAUACCGGAUAGGAGCUCCUGCUGCAUGGUGGGGGUUGGAAAGUUUCGGCGGUUGGGGAUGGACUCGCGGCUUAUCAGCUUGUUGGUGGGGUAGUGGCUUACCAAGGCUUUGACGGGUAGCCGGCCUGAGAGGGUGACCGGCCACAUUGGGACUGAGAUACGGCCCAGACUCCUACGGGAGGCAGCAGUGGGGAAUAUUGCACAAUGGGCGGAAGCCUGAUGCAGCAACGCGGCGUGCGGGAUGACGGCCUUCGGGUUGUAAACCGCUUUCGACUGUGACGAAGCGUGAGUGACGGUAAUGGGUAAGGAAGCACCGGCUAACUAUGUG